AGUGCGGGUGCCGGGAUGUAAGUCUGGUCUUUUACUAAAGUCAAGUGCUCUCCACGAGCAAUAAAGUUGAUACAUUGAUAGUAUUUGCGAGAGCCAUAUCUAGUCGUCUACGAAUGCGUUGAUCUGUGGAUGCCGGGAUGUGUUAGGGUGAAUGGUGCAUAAAUCAGGAUCGAAUGAAUAGGUAUAUGGAAAGAUUCGCCGGCUUUUUAGUUGCAGGAAAAUAUAAACGAAAUCGAUAAAACAGUAACACCUUAGGAUUUUCCGUCAGACAUGAACAUAGCAGGUGCGUAAAACCAUUACGACUUUUACACUUUUGAACUUUAGGAGCACCGGGCAUAAAUAGUGAAUCCUACCGUUCCGCUAUUUGGAAUUCAGGAAGACUUCCGCUAAGAAUUGGAUGCAAUAGUAUUAUCACUUCAAUGCAAAGCUGUCCAUCCAAUAGAUACAUUAAGGGUACCACACGACAGUAAUGUCACUUCAUCAGAGCUAAUAUCAUCAGAACCAAGUCUCAAAGGAUCAGCCGUCUAUCCAAGCUAUCUCUUACCGUUUCAAUACGGUCCGGUAAUGUCUGCUACGAAUUCAAGGAAGACUCCUGCUAAAAGAUCAAAUGGAUCUUCAUACAACAGUGACAUUGUCCUUUCAAUCGGUUGUCGCAGCGCAUGCAGUUACCAGCAGCAAAUAAACCACUCUCAACGGGCAGAAACGAAAAACAGAAAGAUGGAAAGGGAAACCAUUGACCCUUCAAAAAUAACAGCCAAUAGUUGUGAGGCGACCGCUCAACGCCCCUAAAUGCCCAGCAAGAAAUUGGGCAGGAGAUCUCAAGAAGUAUUCGGAACUAUAAAAAGGGUGCGCACAGUCGCUAAGAUUAAAAAAUGCGCCCAGUCAGAAAUGCAACGGCCAAAGGUUUGUGGCAUAUCGGAUAUAUACCUAAUGACGUCAAAUAUCAUCCGCCUAUAAUGAAGUUGAUGUCUCAUCCAGAGGAACAACCGCUGUCAAACAACAAUUUUGAUUUUAUGGUCCCCUAUUUUUACAUGGAUCAAGGGAGAACUGGACAAACAUGCCAGUCAUUAUUUAGACCAGCUUAGAGCAUCAAUCUCACCAUGGCAGCCGCAAAGUACACAUUCGCGGGACACAGAAAAGAGGCGAGGUAUACCAUUGUAGGCAAAGUAAUUCCUUUCACAAAUUGCAACGGAUUGAUGCAUAAAUCGGUUCUUUUAUAAGGCCAAUAAACCAUCAACAAAGGCAGUAUGUCUAGGUAAACUAAGCUAGGAAUUUAACGCUAGUGCUAACAGCUCACGCAUUACAAAAGAGUCGAUAAAUAUAAUUCCUUUAUAUCGCUGGUCCCUUCGGCAAGCAGACUAGAGUAUUCUUACCGGUUCUAUCAUGCAAAACAUCCAGUUUUGCUCCCCUACAAUGACAUAAAUGUAAGAGAACUACACGAAAACAACAUGCAAUGCAGGUCCUCAAGACUUACGUGAAAAAAACAACAGAAGCGCAACUGCGUGCGAUGUAGUCAAGAAAUUAAUCAAUUCAAUUAUGGAAAAUCUACCAGCCGAGUGAUGUUGAUAUAGUUGGAUGUUGAUUAGUAGAGCUCAAAACAUGAACCACUAUUUUACGAACUGUA